GAUGAACGCUGGCGGCGUGCCUAAUACAUGCAAGUCGAGCGAACAGACGAGGAGUUUGCUUCUCUGACGUUAGCGGCGGACGGGUGAGUAACACGUGGAUAACCUACCUAUAAGACUGGGAUAACUUCGGGAAACCGGAGCUAAUACCGGAUAAUAUAUUGAACCGCAUGGUUCAAUAGUGAAAGACGGUUUUGCUGUCACUUAUCGAUGGAUCCGCGCUGCAUUAGCUAGUUGGUAAGGUAACGGCUUACCAAGGCAACGAUGCGUAGCCGACCUGAGAGGGUGAUCGGCCACACUGGAACUGAGACACGGUCCAGACGCCUACGGGAGGCAGCAGUAGGGAAUCUGCCGCAAUGGGCGAAAGCCUGACGGAGCAACGCCGCGUGAGUGAUGAAGGUCUUCGGAUCGUAAAACUCUGUUAUUAGGGAAGAACAAAUGUGUAAGUAACUAUGCACGUCUUGACGGUACCUGAUCAGAAAGCCCCGGCUAACUACGUG
rnacentral:rRNA from 1 species